rnacentral:rRNA from 1 species
AUGUUGUGGAGGAGUAGGGCGAAUCGGACAUUGUCUCGCUUGUGCCGCUGUGAUUAUCAGGCAUUAUUUAAUGCUGCUGAGGGUGUAACAGAGUGUUUCAACCAACAGCAGAAAAAUCAGUUUGAUGUAUGGAUGCUUCAUGCGGUGCUAGCUAAUGAUCUCUGUACUGAUGACAGUUUUGUGGAUCAGGAUCUAAUUUAUGUAGAUCAGGAUCAGGAUCAGAAGAAGCCUGGAUAUGUUCACCAAGUUUUAUUUGAUGUUGCCACCAAGUUUUGGUGCAUGUGUAUUUGUUUUUUGAUUGUAUGUACACUUGUUGGAUUGUGCAGUAUGUGCUAUUGUACAUGUGCUAUUGUGAGUUUCAUUGAUAGAUUUUUGGAUUUGAUCAUUUAA